rnacentral:rRNA from 1 species
CCUACGGGAGGCAGCAGUGGGGAAUUUUCCGCAAUGGGCGAAAGCCUGACGGAGCAACGCCGCGUGGGUGAUGAAGUCUUUCGGGACGUAAAACCCUUUCAGCAGGGACGAAGCGAGUGACGGUACCUGCAGAAGAAGCAUCGGCUAACUACGUGCCAGCAGCCGCGGUAAUACGUAGGAUGCGAGCGUUGUCCGGAUUUAUUGGGCGUAAAGCGAACGUAGGCGGUUUCUUAAGUUUGGUCUUAAAGACCGGGGCUCAACCCCGGGAGUGGACUGAAUACUGGGAGACUAGAGGAUGUUAGAGGAAAGUGGAAUUCCAAGUGUAGCGGUGAAAUGCGUAGAUAUUUGGAGGAACACCAGUGGCGAAAGCGGCUUUCUGGGACAUUUCUGACGCUGAGGUUCGAAAGCUCGGGGAGCAAACAGGAUUAGAUACCCUGGUAGUCCGAGCCGUAAACGAUGGACACUAGGUGUCGGGGGUAUCGACCCCCCGGUGCCGUAGCUAACGCGUUAAGUGUCCCGCCUGGGGGAGGUACGGUCGCGACGACUAGAACUACAAUAGUAAGUUAGUACGGCGUGAGACGUGCCGAACGGACGACAACGAGGGGAAGGAGG